rnacentral:rRNA from 1 species
GACGAACGCUGGCGGCGUGCUUAACACAUGCAAGUCGAACGAUGAAGCCGGAGCUUGCUCUGGUGAAUUAGUGGCGAACGGGUGAGUAACACGUGAGUAACCUGCCCUUGACUCUGGGAUAACUGCGGGAAACUGUAGCUAAUACCGGAUACGACCCUCGGAGGCAUCUCCUGGGGGUGGAAAGAAUUUCGGUCAAGGAUGGACUCGGGGCCUAUCAGCUAGUUGGUGAGGUAAAGGCUCACCAAGGCGACGACGGGUAGCCGGCCUGAGAGGGUGACCGGCCACACUGGGACUGAGACACGGCCCAGACUCCUACGGGAGGCAGCAGUGGGGAAUAUUGCACAAUGGGCGCAAGCCUGAUGCAGCAACGCCGCGUGAGGGAUGACGGCCUUCGGGUUGUAAACCUCUUUUAGCAGGGAAGAAGCGAAAGUGACGGUACCUGCAGAAAGAGCACCGGCUAACUACGUGCCAGCAGCCGCCGUAA